AACGCGAAGAACCUUACCUGGGCUCGAAGCGCAGUGGAAUCCGGAUGAAAGUUCGGCGCCCCGCAAGGGGCCAUUGCGUAGGUGCUGCAUGGCUGUCGUCAGCUCGUGUCGUGAGAUGUUGGGUUAAGUCCCGCAACGAGCGCAACCCUCAUCUUUAGUUGCUAAGCCGCAAGGCAGCACUCUAAAGAAACUGCCGGCCACAAGCCGGAGGAAGGUGGGGAUGACGUCAAGUCCUCAUGGCCUUUAUGUCCAGGGCUACACACGUGCUACAAUGGGCGGUACAAAGCGUCGCCAACCCGCAAGGGGGAGCCAAUCGCAAAAAACCGCUCUCAGUUCGGAUUGCAGUCUGCAACUCGACUGCAUGAAGCUGGAAUCGCUAGUAAUCGCGGAUCAGCACGCCGCGGUGAAUACGUUCCCGGGCCUUGUACACACCGGCUAC
rnacentral:rRNA from 1 species